CCUACGGGUGGCAGCAGUGGGGAAUAUUGGGCAAUGGGCGCAAGCCUGACCCAGCAACGCCGCGUGAAGGAAGAAGGCCUUCGGGUUGUAAACUUCUUUUGUCAGGGACGAAGAAAGUGACGGUACUUGACGAAUAAGCCACGGCUAACUACGUGCCAGCAGCCGCGGUAAUACGUAGGUGGCAAGCGUUAUCCGGAUUGACUGGGUGUAAAGGGCGUGUAGGCGGGAGAGCAAGUCAGACGUGAAAUUCCAGGGCUCAACCCUGAGCCUGCAUUUGAAACUGUUUUUCUUGAGUGCUGGAGAGGCAAUCGGAAUUCCUGGUGUAGCGGUGAAAUGCGUAGAUAUACGGAGGAACACCAGUGGCGAAGGCGGAUUGCUGGACAGUAACUGACGCUGAGGCGCGAAAGCGUGGGGAGCAAACAGGAUUAGAUACCCUAGUAGUC
rnacentral:rRNA from 1 species